rnacentral:rRNA from 1 species
CCUACGGGAGGCUGCAGUGGGGAAUAUUGGACAAUGGGCGCAAGCCUGAUCCAGCCAUGCCGCGUGAGUGAUGAAGGCCCUAGGGUUGUAAAGCUCUUUCACCGGUGAAGAUAAUGACGGUAACCGGAGAAGAAGCCCCGGCUAACUUCGUGCCAGCAGCCGCGGUAAUACGAAGGGGGCUAGCGUUGUUCGGAUUUACUGGGCGUAAAGCGCACGUAGGCGGACUUUUAAGUCAGGGGUGAAAUCCCGGGGCUCAACCCCGGAACUGCCUUUGAUACUGGAAGUCUUGAGUAUGGUAGAGGUGAGUGGAAUUCCGAGUGUAGAGGUGAAAUUCGUAGAUAUUCGGAGGAACACCAGUGGCGAAGGCGGCUCACUGGACCAUUACUGACGCUGAGGUGCGAAAGCGUGGGGAGCAAACAGGAUUAGAUACCCCAGUAGUC